UUUCACCCCAAAUGUUUAUGAUUGCAUUGUAAAGAUCACUUAAAAUGACUUAAUAAUUUCUUUUAUAGAAUUUUGGUAACUUGCUUCCUUUGCAAGAUAUUCAACUUUGUUUCAUAUACAAAUAUCACCGGUGUGACAUCACAUCGCAUAAUGACAUUUUGAAAACGCAAUAUUUUACCUUCACAAAAUAUUUUUACAAACAAAUACAGAGGGUUAAUUACCAGUUAUGAAAUUAAUACAUAUACAAGGCAAUUUUUAAGUUUUUUUGAUACGUAUUCGUCGAGAAAACUAUACUUUUCUGAAAACUCAUUAUGCGAUGUGAUGUCACACCGGUGAUAUUUGCAUAUGGAACAAAGUUGAAUAUCUUGAAAAGGGAGCAAGUUACCAAAAUUCUAUAAAAGAAAUUAUUAAGUCAUUUUAAGUGAUCUUUACAAUGCAACCAUAAACAUUUGGGGUGAAAUUUCGUGUCAUAGGCACUUUAAAGCGUCCAUUUAAAGGCCCGUUUCCACUUGUAAUUUCUGCUCCGAUUUUAUUGGAAGUGCAAUUUCCUUCUGAUGGAUGUGAACGAGCGGAUGAGUUAUGGAUGUUCAGAUGUGGGUCUCCACUGCGCAUCCAAAUGACGCGUUCUGCGCAAGCGAACGUGUAGUAGAGACCAUUCAUUUCAAUGGUUGAGACCGGAAGGUUAUAAUAUGCAUACAAGGGUAUAUAGCAGUUGAAUCAUUGUUUGCAUUUCACUUGUAAAGCCACAAUCAAAAUGUCAUUAAAGUUUUUUAAACAUGCUGGCAAAUAGCAACUGUUUGUAUAUUCAUGUAGCAUAUUGAACAUUUGAUAUGUAUAUUCUAAUUCUACAUGUUCAGCUUGGUCUCUUCAUUUUUAUUAUGUAUGUAUAUCAUACAUACACUUCAUAUCAUACAUACACACGAUGAUGGAUAUCAUCAUACAGACACAUUGAUAACCUGUACCUCAUCCCCAUUCUAACCCCUAACCAGAGGCGUCUAACCCCUCGCCCUGGUGGGGGCAACGAAAGACCCGUCUGCGUGCGAUGUGGAUGCGCAGUGGGGGGAUUUCACUCGUUUCCGGUGUGGGUUAGUUAUAUAACCAUUUAACACCUCUUCCGUUUUCGUACAAUAGCGUCAUGUCAGUUGCAUGGAAACGAGUAUACUGGCCGUUGAAACUCCGAGGGAUUGCCAUUAAACUUAAUACGUUCGUAACUCGUCUGCUUGUUCACAUGCUCAGAAGACGAAAAUCGCCGCAAAAAUGCAAGAGUCAGCGGGUCUUAAAAUGUCGCGUCUUGUAAUUCCGUAAAGUACACAGGUCGUGCGUUGUACUAUCAUUCUCCUUUGCUUCAAUAGAAACUACGUUAAUUGUUGCCUUGAAUAUCGACCAAGAAGUCAAUGAACUUCAACGUUUGUUGUAGUAGAACAGGCAGUUAAUGUUAAUCAUACGAUUGUACAACAAUUUUCAGUGGCUGUUUAUCUCUUCUCACAACGGGUUGCCAGGGCAGUGCCUUCGUUAUGUACAUCACAAUAUGUCUGAGUACAGUAGGCACCUACAGUGCAUAAUCUGAACAAAACUAAAGUCUGGUUUUGCCUAGGUAAAUUCUGAGUUUUGAAGGAUUUGUAAGAAAUGUUUAAGCAAUAUUGAGUCACUUCCCUCGAACAUUUCUUACAAAUCUUUCAAAAAUUAGAAUUGUCUAUGCAAAAUUCCCACUGUGAUCUUAGAAAUUUUGAUAGUGUAAUCCAGCUUAAAUGAUGGAGACUGUCAAUACUGCUGUAUCAGUAUCAACUAAAUAUCUUUGGAAAUGAUUACUGAUUAAGUUUUGUGUGACGUAAUCUUUACCCAAAUACUUUGGCUUAGGGACGGGCCAUUAGAAAAGUGAUGGGGGGGGGGGGGGUCCAUUUCCAAUCUGUACGAUCAUUUUUUCAAAAAUUUUUGCUUGUGUCGCUAAUUUUUUUUUUUACUAAUCCCUUGCUCGAAUUUUAUUUUGGGGGAAAAUUUUCAGGACAUUAAAACGUUUUAUUUUCCAAAUUUGGGGGCCACCCUUACACAACUUAUAAUUUUCCCUCUUGAAAAGUCUCUGCACGAAUUUUUUUUUUAACUUUUCGUGCUCGAUUUUUUUUUCUGUUUCCCCUGCUCGAUUUUUAUUUUUGCUUUUGCCCCCCCCCCAUCACUUUUCUAAUGGUCCGCCCCUUAUUUACAAUCAAUGGUCGACAAAUACACUUGCUAUUUGAGAUUCAUUUAUCAUGAAAGAUCGAAUCCCUUAAAAUGAUAAAACAUUUCUUUUGGUUUACUGUAGCAAAGCUUUUCAUCUGUCAUGGCUGUCUUCAUCAGUUAUAUAAGUUUGACUGUAUAAUGUCAUUGAUAAAAUUUCUUUACAGAUUAUUUGAAGAGUUCGUUUUGGCCGUCGUCGUUGCGUUGCCGUCCUAAAAUCGUAAGGUCUCUACCAACACCAGAGAGCUGCUGACUAAGAGGGAUUCAA